AGAGUUUGAUCCUGGCUCAGGACGAACGCUGGCGGCGUGCUUAACACAUGCAAGUCGAACGGAAAGGCCCCUUCGGGGGUACUCGAGUGGCGAACGGGUGAGUAACACGUGGGUGAUCUGCCCUGCACUUUGGGAUAAGCCUGGGAAACUGGGUCUAAUACCGAAUAGGACCGCAUGCUUCAUGGUGUGUGGUGGAAAGCUUUUGCGGUGUGGGAUGGGCCCGCGGCCUAUCAGCUUGUUGGUGGGGUAAUGGCCUACCAAGGCGACGACGGGUAGCCGGCCUGAGAGGGUGUCCGGCCACACUGGGACUGAGAUACGGCCCAGACUCCUACGGGAGGCAGCAGUGGGGAAUAUUGCACAAUGGGCGCAAGCCUGAUGCAGCGACGCCGCGUGGGGGACGACGGCCUUCGGGUUGUAAACCUCUUUCAGUAUCGGCGAAGCUCCAGGAUUUUUCUUGGGGUGACGGUAGGUACAGAAGAAGCACCGGCCAACUACGUGCCAGCAGCCGCGGUAAUACGUAGGGUGCGAGCGUUGUCCGGAAUUACUGGGCGUAAAGAGCUCGUAGGUGGUUUGUCACGUUGUCCGUGAAAACUCACAGCUUAACUGUGGGCGUGCGGGCGAUACGGGCAGACUGGAGUACUGUAGGGGAGACUGGAAUUCCUGGUGUAGCGGUGGAAUGCGCAGAUAUCAGGAGGAACACCGGUGGCGAAGGCGGGUCUCUGGGCAGUAACUGACGCUGAGGAGCGAAAGCGUGGGGAGCGAACAGGAUUAGAUACCCUGGUAGUCCAA
rnacentral:rRNA from 1 species